rnacentral:rRNA from 1 species
UUGCUUGCGAACUGAAGAUGGCGACCGGCGCACGGGUGAGUAACACGUAUCCAACCUGCCGAUAACUCCGGAAUAGCCUUUCGAAAGAAAGAUUAGUACCGGAUGGCAUACGAAUAUCGCAUGAUAUUUUUAUUAAAGAAUUUCGAUUAUCGAUGGGGAUGCGUUCCAUUAGUUUGUUGGCGGGGUAACGGCCCACCAAGACUACGAUGGAUAGGGGUUCUGAGAGGAAGGUCCCCCACAUUGGAACUGAGACACGGUCCAAACUCCUACGGGAGGCAGCAGUGAGGAAUAUUGGUCAAUGGGCGAGAGCCUGAACCAGCCAAGUAGCGUGAAGGAUGAAGGCUCUAUGGGUCGUAAACUUCUUUUAUAUGGGAAUAAAGUUUUCCACGUGUGGAAUUUUGUAUGUACCAUAUGAAUAAGGAUCGGCUAACUCCGUGCCAGCAGCCGCGGUAAUACGGAGGAUCCGAGCGUUAUCCGGAUUUAUUGGGUUUAAAGGGAGCGUAGGUGGAUUGUUAAGUCAGUUGUGAAAGUUUGCGGCUCAACCGUAAAAUUGCAGUUGAAACUGGCAGUCUUGAGUACAGUAGAGGUGGGCGGAAUUCGUGGUGUAGCGGUGAAAUGCUUAGAUAUCACGAAGAACUCCGAUUGCGAAGGCAGCUCACUAAACUGUUACUGACACUGA